GAUGAACGCUGGCGGCGUGCUUAACACAUGCAAGUCGAACGGAGUGCCUUUGAAAGAGGAUUCGUCCAAUUGAUAAGGUUACUUAGUGGCGGACGGGUGAGUAACGCGUGAGGAACCUGCCCUGGAGUGGGGGACAACAGUUGGAAACGACUGCUAAUACCGCAUAAGCCCACAGUGCCGCAUGGCACAGCGGGAAAAGGAUUUAUUCGCUUCAGGAUGGACUCGCGUCCAAUUAGCUAGUUGGUGAGGUAACGGCCCACCAAGGCGACGAUUGGUAGCCGGACUGAGAGGUUGAACGGCCACAUUGGGACUGAGACACGGCCCAGACUCCUACGGGAGGCAGCAGUGGGGGAUAUUGCACAAUGGGGGAAACCCUGAUGCAGCGACGCCGCGUGGAGGAAGAAGGUUUCGGAUUGUAAACUCCUGUCGUUAGGGACGAUAAUGACGAUACCUAACAAGAAAGCACCGGCUAACUACGUGCCAGCAGCCGCAGUAAC
rnacentral:rRNA from 1 species